GUCAGCCCUCAUGACCACCGCCUACAUAGUCUACAAGAACGGGAACAGCAUUCAAGACAUCGCCACCGGGAAACCGUCUACUCCAUUCGACCACGGCGCCGGACACGUCGAUCCUCUGGCGGCGUUAAACCCAGGACUGGUCUACGAUCUCGCCGCCGAUGACUAUCUUGGCUUUCUCUGCGCAUUGAAUUACACAGAAUCACAGAUCAACAGCGUAGCAAGAAGACAAUUCACAUGUGACGCGAGCAGGAAAUACAGUGUGAAUGACCUUAAUUACCCAUCAUUCGCAGUCAACAUCGACCCGACGCGGAUGGGCAGUGGUGGCACUAGCGUGUUCAAAUACACGCGAACUCUUAC
rnacentral:lncRNA from 1 species